GCAAACUUGGUCAUUUAGAGGAAGUAAAAGUCGUAACAAGGUCUCCGUUGGUGAACCAGCGGAGGGAUCAUUAUCGAGUUUACAACUCCCAAAACCCCUGUGAACAUACCUAUCGUUGCUUCGGCGGGAUCGCCCCGGCGCCUCCGGGCCCGGACCCAGGCGCCCGCCGGAGGACCCAAACUCUUGAAUUUACGGUGUAUCUUCUGAGUGAAACAAGCAAAUAAAUCAAAACUUUCAACAACGGAUCUCUUGGUUCUGGCAUCGAUGAAGAACGCAGC
rnacentral:misc_RNA from 1 species